CAUUUCCCCUAUCAGACUCUGUUGCCUUCCCCGUAAAUGCUCCCAGGAAUUAAUAUUGCGAGAUGAUGUUGACGCCUGGGAGUCAGUCUAUUUCUGGACAAAAUAUUGGCACUUAGUUCCUUUUCCUUUGAGAAGGCUCAUGAGAAUCCAAGCAUAGCAAUAAUGGCCUCUAUGUGGAGUGUCCACUAACUGGCGUUUGUAAUCAAAUGUCUCAGGUAUCCUUGUACUUAAUCUUCCUGGUAACCCUGAAAAGUAGGCAAUGUCCACUUUGCAGAUGUGGAAACUGAGGUCAAAGACAUUAAGCAACCUGCCUUUUCCUCACCAGCUUCUAGUACACUGCUCCAUGCCUCCCUAGCACUGUACAAAUAACAGGGAUUUUAUUUGCUGCCCCCACUGUGUCCAUGAUAGCUUUCAGAUUUGCCCCUCCUGCUAGCCAAGCCUGAGCCCAGGACACUCCUGAUGCAGCAUCAGGUCCCACUGACUCCUGCAACUUCAGCCACACUUUUAACCUCCCACCACACCCUGGCAUCAUUAGUCCUAAGCAGCACCCAGCAGAGAUGCCACUAAAGAAAGGUGACAACUGUCAGGCAGGCCGUGAAAGCUCCUUGCUGCUUACCAGCGUCUCCAGCUCACUCUCUACCACAGGCAGGCAUCGCUUGCCUGCUUCUCCCAGGCUCUUCGCAGCCAAGCUUAGUCAUGCCCCUACUCGCUUCUCUCACCUCAGAGACACCGCCUACCUCAUUUUUACUGUGCUCCCCCAUCCCCUGAGGCAGACUGUAUUUUCCAAAAACAGACACAGCAAUAUUUCUAGUCCACAUGCUGUCCCAGCACUUUUACACUCUUCAUCAAGAGAUGGAGUCUAUUUCCCCCUCCUUGAACCUGAGUGGGGCUUUGUUACUAACCUAAGGAACAGAAUAUAGCAGAAGAAAAACUGCAUUAUUUCCAAGGUUAGGUCAUAAAAAAUGAUAUGGCUUCCA
rnacentral:lncRNA from 1 species